UGUAAGGGAAGGAUGGGUCCCAUCCCCCCCAACCCCUCCCUGCCUCCCAGCAGGGAGGGAAAGCCAGGCAAGGUCUGGCCGGAGGAUCUGCUUUGAUCCUCCUAUCACCAUGCCGGCCCACAUGUUAGAGUAGUGUGUGUGUCGGAGGAGGGGCGUGUGUGCAUGCUGCUGGGCAGGACUGAGCAGGGUUUAAAAGGCCUGGCGCAGCUGCACUCGGUCUCUUCUUCUUGUGUGCAUCGCCCGGAGAACAUCACCCCCCUGGACAACGAGCAUUUAAACCUGGCUGAGUAUAUCAACCCCUACUAUCCCACCAACGAAUCCCAUUAACCCCUCCUGCUCAAACCCCUACUAUCCCACCAACGAAUCCCAUUAACAAACCUCUACUAUCCCACCAACGAUCCCACUCAUACCCCUAUUAUCCCACCAACGAAAACCCUUACUGAUAUCACCAAUUCCCUAUCCCCUGUACCCCAAUUCCCUUUUGUUGCUUUAGGGAAAGUUUAGCACCAGGAAGGGGGCGGGCAAUUAUAACGUGUGUGAUUGUGUAUGUGUAGUUAGAUUGUGGGUGAAAUUUGGGGAUUGUUAGUGUACCUGCAUUAGAGGUAGUUGCUGUUUCUAUUGUUGAGUGUCGUAUUAAAUAUAUAUUGUGUUAUUUGUAACUUCUGUGUUGUGUUUGUUAUUAUGUAAUUAGAGUAGCAAGCGCACGCAGAUAGUUAGUACAGUACAAUAUAUAGUGUACAUAGUGAAAGGUUAAUUAAGAGUAGUUCUUUAAGGAAUAAAUAGGCGGAGUUAAGUAUCGAACAUCUGCAUAAACAGCGAUAACGGAUACACCCCCUUAACAUUGGCGAGCCAGCGGCCCCUGCAUAUAGCGUUAUUUCUGCGUUCGGUUUUGAGGCUAGGGAUCGGUUAUACUGUGAUUAUCAGGCGGUAGAGACAAGGUUGAAUGUCUGCCCUGAUAAUUCGGACAGGUAACGCGAGUUAUAGUGUAGUACCAAACGUAAAUCACGCUUAAGCAGAGAAUCUAUAAUCUAUCUGUUACUAAAAAUUUUUAUUUAUUUUUGAUUACCUUUCACGGAUGCGUACGCAUUGCUGAAAGGAAAAAUCACGUCACGGGAAGAGAUCCAUCGUUAUCGGAGCAGGAUAAAAGUCUAGUCUGGUAGGGAGAAAGGCGUUCCGGAAGUUAAAGGACCUUCUACAAGCAGCAAGGACAAAGGUUAGCACCGAUUGAAUGAUGACAUCUCAACCAAAA